UCUCUCUAGAGAAACAACACACUAGGAUACAGAGAGACAGACAGAGGCAGAGGCAGAGACAGACAGAGAGAGACAGAGAGACAGAGGAAGAGACGCUGGCUGGAAAUCCACGUAAGAGCUGUUGCUGCAGAAUGGAGUCUGAAGUCCACAGGGUCUGCCAACAGACUACAACAUAUAUAAGAGCUGAGAGUUCUGGGGCAUUUGUCCUUCAUCUUCCUCCACUCAGAAAUAACUGACCAGAGUCCUCCUGGCGAGCAGACUAAUCAGCUAAGAAGAAGCUUCUCCAAGGAGACACCAAAGAUGAAACCACUAUAUUUGGUCUUGGGUCUUUGGGUUUUUGGAGGAUGUUUCCUGUCUGCUGAGUGUCACAGAGGCCCCAGAAGACAACGUGAUCUUAGAGGAUGGCUUCCUCCUCUUGCCCCUCGCAAAAGUCCAAGAUUUUCCAACUUUAAUUUCUCUAGUCAAGAAUUUGUUAUGAUUCUCCCUCUUCCCACCUAUGGUCCAGGAUUUAGACCAUUUCGUCCUCUUAGUUCAAAGCUACCUUACAUGCCAAGACCUCCACAACCCAGACCUCCAAACACUCCUCACCUCUUCAACGUCUCCCUCAAUAAAACACUAUUGCCAAUAUCUCCCUAACUACUGCUACUGUCUCAGAUUCCACUGAUGAUUUUCUGAGCUGGUGGCAAAAAUUGAUUUCCCUUUGGCAGUAAGGAUGAGAUAGUCCAAAGCACUGUGAGGAUUUGGGAUAAAUGAUCUUUAAAGGCUUAAGAAACAACCCCUUCCCAAGCAUUAUACAAAAUGAAAAUAAAGA